CAAGUCGAACGCGAAAUUUCCCUUCGGGGAGAAAGUAGAGUGGCGCACGGGUGAGUAACACGUAGGUAAUCUACCUUCGGAUGGGGAAUAACAAUCGGAAACGGUUGCUAAUACCGCAUAAUGCAGCGGCACCUAAUGGUGACAGUUGUUAAAGCGGGGGAUCGAAAGACCUCGCGUCUGAAGAGGAGCCUGCGGCGGAUUAGCUAGUUGGUAAGGUAAUGGCUUACCAAGGCUACGAUCCGUAACCGGCCUGAGAGGGCGGUCGGUCACACUGACACUGACAUACGGGUCAGACUCCUACGGGAGGCAGCAGUCGGGAAUUUUGGGCAAUGGGCGAAAGCCUGACCCAGCAACGCCGCGUGAAGGAUGAAAUCCCUCGGGAUGUAAACUUCGCAAGGACAGGAAGAAUAAGUAGGGGACAAUACCCUCUAUGAUGACGGUACUGUUUGUAAGCUCCGGCUAACUCCGUGCCAGCAGCCGCGGUAAUACGGGGGGAGCAAGCGUUGUUCGGAUUUACUGGGCGUAAAGGGCGCGUAGGCGGUCAGCACAAGUCAGUUGUGAAAUCUCCGAGCUUAACUCGGAAAGGUCAACUGAUACUGUGCGACUAGAGUGCAGAAGGGGCAACUGGAAUUCUCGGUGUAGCGGUGAAAUGCGUAGAUAUCGAGAGGAACACCUGCGGCGAAGGCGGGUUGCUGGGCUGACACUGACGCUGAGGCGCGAAAGCUAGGGGAGCGAACGGGAUUAGAUACCCCGGUAGUCCUAGCCUUAAACGAUGAAUGCUUGGUGUCUGGGGUUAUAAAAUCCCCGGGUGCCGUCGCUAACGCUUUAAGCAUUCCGCCUGGGGAGUACGGUCGCAAGACUGAAACUCA
rnacentral:rRNA from 1 species